GAAGGUGCCGGCCCUCGGGACCCCCGAUCUAGCCGCAGCCGGAAGCCCCUCCAGCCGGCGGGCUCUCUCCGUUAGCCUGCUCCCCGCCCGUCCCCGGCUCCCCGUGAAAAGGGACCCUCGCCGCCCUGCCGCCGCGUCCGGUCACUCACCCGGGUUGAAGAGCACCGUUCCCUUGAGACUAGCAGCAUGUCAAGGUUGCUGUGUCCUGCAAAGAGAGUGAGAAUUUCAUCUAUUUCUUGUCAGGAGAAGUGUGGUAGCUGUGAAGGAUCCCAGCUUUUAUCCCCUUCGUGGGCAGCGGCGCUGAUUAAACUCAUCCCCUUGACUCACCUGUCCGGUUAAUCAAUACAGUCUGGCUGGAACUGAAAAAGCAGGUUAAACCUAGAGAGUGCAAAACUUGACUCUUAGGGAAGGCCCUGUAAUCUUACUGACUUUCUCUUCCCCAUUUUGAAGUUAACUUGUGUCCCACCUGUUUCUGCACUCAGAGUCCACACAGCUCUUAUGUUUUGCAUGGCGUGGUGAAGGGAGUACCCAAACUGGGCAGACUGACUGCCCCAAUAUUUCUGUCACUGCGUCACCGUGGCUGAUGCCAGCCCUCGCCGUGGUCAGUGGUAAUGGUACACGGAUACAUAUUUCAAGAGCAAGAUCUGACCGAGCAUUGAGUGCUGUUGCCGUGUGCUACUGGGGCCAGCCUGUUUAGCCUGGAAGGACUCUGGAAAGACAAAUAGUACUUUGAUUUUUGUCUCUUUCUUUGAUGUGCGAUAGCUUGACUGUACUCAGUGAAUCUACUGAAUACCCACUGUGUAAAAGGCAGGCUAUACAACCGGAGUGCACGAUAACACACUGCCUGGAAGGUGUUCAGGGACCAAGCUGCGCCUGCAUAUGCGGCUCCUGACCAGCUACUGUAAAUCUGGCAAAUGUAAAAAGCCUUGACGAAAUGAGGCUUGUCAAGCCCUAAAAGGAGUAUGAGCCUUUCUUCGCCUUGCUGCUCUGAACGCCAGAGAAAUGUUUCCAGUGAGGCUGAAGCAACGCUCGGGCGCUUGGGCUAUUCUCCCCAGGGCUGCAGACAAUGAGAGGGCUGCGCUGCGACCUUCGGCCAGCAGCGGACGGUGUCACCAGGAAGGGUGCGACUCUGCGGCUUCCGAGGUCCCCACCAUACCGUCACAGCCACAGCUGCGUGUGGUGGCCAGAGCCACCACCGGCACAUCUGCACACGAGGAGGCAAAAGAGAAGGGUGAAGUUUCACCUCUUCCUAGGCUGAACAAACAAAGUGCACGGUAAAAGCUCCUGGUUUGGUGUUUUCUUUAUAACGGAUGAGACAUCAUCUUUGUAACUAUUACAUGACAUUUUGAACCCUUCUGUAGAAGGCAGUUUGCAUCAGCAAUGUUAUUACUAUUUGCUGUUUUCCAUUUGUUUUGAGGUGCAGUUUAUACACAAUGCAAGCUACCUCAUGGGAAACAGACGGCCGCGGCUUACAGUUCGAGCUGAAAAGAGAUCAUUAACACAGUGACAUUUGGGGAAAGGUGAGAGCAGCUUUGACAGCCGGGGGAAAAGAUUUUACACAGCUCAGAAAGAUCCUACAUUUCCUCCCAUCCCAGAGACAUGAGUCAUGCUAUGUCUGCCAGUAUGAGAUUUAACUCUUGCUACUGUAAACACUGGUUUUGUGAGGACUGAUUUUCAGUUUAUAUACCUAAAAGUAUACAUAUGUUGGCUAGUGAAACCUAAUGAAAGCAGAAAUAAAAGCAGGGUGAAGUAGCUAAACAUACGGAAACCUGCCUGAGGAGAUGUGCACCCGUGUGAGCUGAAAGCAGGACCAGGUGAGACAGCAGCACGCGGUGCAAUGGGCGCCACGCUGCUCGCCGCCGCUGCCAGCAAACGCUCUGUGAUGACACCUGCAGAAGCUCCUGGCACUCACCUUGCCUGCCACGCCACGACGACCAUGGAGCACGUGCAACCAGAGGAAGGGCGAAUGCCCUUUUGCUGGCGGUGAAGUAAGCAACGUCGCCAGCCGCUCGGCCCUUGCCGAGGUGAAGCCAGU